GUGGGGAUAGCUCAGUUGGGAGAGCGUCAGACUGAAGAUCUGAAGGUCGGGUGUUCGAUCCACCCUCACCGCA
rnacentral:tRNA from 1 species